rnacentral:rRNA from 1 species
UUCCGGUUGAUCCUGCCGGACCUUACUGCUAUCGGGAUAGGACUAAGACAUGUUAGUCGCGCGUCUCCCAGCCAUGAAAGAGACGCGGCACACGGCUCAGUAACAUGUGGCUAACCUGCCCUUAGGACAGAGACAACCCCGGGAAACUGGGGCUAAUCUCUGAUAGGUGUGGAAUUCUGGAAUGAGUCUACACCCAAAAGACGCCUGAAUCAUGCUUUAGACAUCGCCUAAGGAUGGGGCCGCAGCCGAUCAGGUUGUUGGUGAGGUAACGGCUCACCAAGCCUAUAACCGGUACGGGCCGUGAGAGCGGGAGCCCGGAGAUGGGCACUGAGACAAGGGCCCAGGCCCUACGGGGCGCAGCAGUUGCGAAAACUCCGCAAUGCGCGAAAGCGUGACGGGGCUACCCCGAGUGCCGCCCGUUGAGGGCGGCUUUUCCACGGUGUAAGGAGCCGUGGGAAUAAGGAGAGGGCAAGACUGGUGUCAGCCGCCGCGGUAAUACCAGCUCUCCGAGUGGUGGGGACGAUUAUUGGGCUUAAAGCGUUCGUAGCCGGCUUAACAAGUCUUCCGUUAAAUCCAACGAUCUAAUCGUUGGGCUGCGGGAGAUACUGUUGGGCUAGGAGGCGGGAGAAGCCGACGGUAUUCUCGGGGUAGGGGUGAAAUCCUGUAAUCCCGGGAGGACCACCAGUGGCGAAGGCGGUCGGCUAGAACGCGCUCGACGGUGAGGGACGAAAGCUGGGGGAGCGAACCGGAUUAGAAACCCGGGUAGUCCCAGCUGUAAACGAUGCGGGCUAGUGUUGGGGUGGCCACGAGCCACUUCAGUGCCGCAUGGAAGCAAUUAAGCCCGCCGCCUGGGGAGUACGGCCGCAAGGCUGAACUUAAAGGAAUGGCGGGGGAGCACCACAAGCGUGAAGCUGCGUUAAUUGGAAUCAACGCCGG